GGGAAGAGGAGUCCUUUGUGCUGUAGUCCUGUUGGGGUCUCUGGGAAAAUGCAGAGGAAGGUCCUUUUUCAGGCGGCCCUGGGCCUGCUGCCACUGACACGGAGUCCUGACUUUGUGCCACUCUUCCUUCACAUCUUGGGACCAAACCCCAGGAAGGGCAAAAGGGCCGGGGCUCAAAGGCCUCGCUGCCCAGGCCGCCGGCCUGAGUCUGACCCCUAGAACUCACAGUGUAAGGGGGAGACUCUGACCUCUGCACCUGCACUGUGCGUGCCUGACACGCCCCAACUCCCGAGAAAGAACAUGAUGGAAAAAAAAAAUUAAACCCAGGAUAAGUUCCUAAAGAAACUUUCAUGAAGAAAAUAUAAUUUCAAUACAGUGACAAUAUAGUCAAAAGACAUAAACUUUA
rnacentral:lncRNA from 1 species